CCACGGGUGGCUGCAGUGGGGAAUAUUGGACAAUGGGCGAAAGCCUGAUCCAGCCAUGCCGCGUGUGUGAAGAAGGCCUUCGGGUUGUAAAGCACUUUCAGUGGGGAAGAAAGCCUUGGGGCUAAUACCCUCGAGGAAGGACAUCACCCACAGAAGAAGCACCGGCUAACUCCGUGCCAGCAGCCGCGGUAAUACGGAGGGUGCGAGCGUUAAUCGGAAUUACUGGGCGUAAAGCGCGCGUAGGCGGUCUGAUAAGCCGGUUGUGAAAGCCCCGGGCUCAACCUGGGAACGGCAUCCGGAACUGUCAGGCUAGAGUGCAGGAGAGGAAGGUAGAAUUCCCGGUGUAGCGGUGAAAUGCGUAGAGAUCGGGAGGAAUACCAGUGGCGAAGGCGGCCUUCUGGACUGACACUGACGCUGAGGUGCGAAAGCGUGGGUAGCAAACAGGAUUAGAUACCCGUGUAGUC
rnacentral:rRNA from 1 species